CAGAAUCGAGUCAAUAAGUUGC
rnacentral:siRNA from 1 species